GCAUGAAAUGCCCCAUUUUCAACCAUUUUUUAAUUUAUAGAAAGGACAAUGUCAUAUGGUUCAACCUAGCCCACGUAUAAGACUGAGAGACGCGAGGAAGACACCUAAGGCAAAGUAAAGGGAGUUGUUACUAUUUAAAGGCAGCUGUGGCUUGGCCACGUGAGCAUACUGGGCUGAAAAUGGUAAGCAGGAUUUGUAAUUUCUUCUAAGUCGAGUCGACCCUUUGAUGAGUAAGUAUUGAAAGCAUGCAAAUAUUCCUUGCAUUUGCUCUUCUAUCUUCUUAGUUCACUGUGGGAUGAGAUGCUAUUGAUGUCACACCCAAUUCCCCUUAUCCCAGCCUGGAAUGUGGCCUGCAGAAGGUUCUCUGUGUCUCUUCACCUGAAGCCCUUUCUUGGCUACGGAAGCAUGUUCAGCCUAGGUCCAACAACAAGGAGUUAACAUCUCAGGAGUAAUCCUCAUCUUGAUAAAUUAAGGCCUGGUGGAUACAUUCCCAGCUUCCUCACGUCUCAGUGGGAUUGAGCGUGGUGGUCCACAGUGCUAACCUGCUCAUUAACACACAUUUUAUCUCCUUUCUUCCCUUUCCUACCUCAUGCCUCCGUACCCUCACCCCACUUUCUGGGAUCCCCUCCCCACUUCAACCAAGAUCCCUGCCUCAGGGUUUUGCUUUUGGGGGAGCUGAAAUAAAACAUCUGGUGCCAGAAAUGGCCCUAGAAAGUGGCCUCAGGAUGAGACACUGGACUUGAUGCCAGCCAGAUGACAACAGGAUCCCACUGCUAGUAGUAAGUGUAGUGGUGAUAAACCCUGUCACACUACUGGGUUAGUUACCAACACUCUCACCUGGGUAUGGAUUGGAAUGAAAGAAGAGAAGACAGUCUCUGAUUAGCCAACUAUUACCUGAAGAGAUGCCCUGACAACUAGAAAGCCCCCAGGUCUCUAUUUAAAAGAACCCACAUCUCCUAUGUGCAGAAGCCAGAAUGUACUGAGAAUCCGGCCCAUGAUUGGAUUACAGCAGUGAUGCAGAUUCAAAGGAGACCAAAUUCACAUGCCCGGAAAGUCUCCUUUGCUUAAGUCAGGGCCCUGAUUGGGAAGGAAUGUGACUCUGAGAUAUGAGGGGCCCAUUUGGGCAAAUGCCCUCAACGACCUUGAUAUCCCAGAUUCUUCUGAACCCUUGGGUCUAGAAGAAGUGGCUCACUCCCCCUUGCUAGAGGAGGGUAGCCUCCUAUCACCUGGAAGCCAUUCCAAGGCCUCUCUUGAAAGGAGACUGGCAAGAUAACCUUGGUCUUCCUCAGGAUCGGUCCCUACUUCCACUCAUUACUUCUAAACCAAUAAAUAGGGCUGAAUAUCAGCAUGCCCUAUGCAGAGAAAUAUUAUCCUGCUUUGAGAAGAAAUGGAUUAGUCCCCCAAAAGAACAGAACCUGGACUGGCAGAAACUGGAAGAACAUGUAUGGUUAUGGAUCUUGAGGAUGCUGGCCUAGUGGGAAGUAGAAAAGAAGUUGGAUAAGGAAGAGUUUAUUGACAUAGACUGUCUUCUGUGACUCAGGAUUUGGCAUGUUUGUAAGAACACAUGGAGCCAGUCCUAAUACACUGCUGCAAUGGGCCUUGGUGCUUGAGGAUGAUGGUAUGCCAAAAACGAGGUGGAGAUUCCACAACUGCUUAACAAGAGUGCUGAGGAGGGUUCAGAAGGCUCAGAGGGAUGACAUGCUAGAAUGGAUAUAAGGCGAGAGAGCCCACCCAUGGGCAGGGGUAUUUCCUUCACUGAAACAAUAAAGACUGCAUUGGUAAGGGGACAUUAACAUUGUUGAGAAGCUCAGUGGUGGCUGUCUUCUGUUGGCUAGAACUGACAACAGAAGAUGCUGGCACAUAACUGGGCCUCCUAUGAUAGGAAGGAUUCCAGAACAAAAAACUAAUGGCUGCACUCAGACAUUAGAGGAAUAAAAUGAAUACAGUAACCUAAUGGGCCGUAAGGCCAGAAGAACAACCAGGGAGCCAAGGACCAGUGGCUAAUAGAUUACGGCGCUCCUAGAGGUGAGGUGAAUGGGCAGUCAAUGAAGUUACUGUUAUAAAACCAAGCCAACCAACCAAACAGCUGAUGAGUAAAAGACUGAUGUCAGCCACCACAGUGGAAAAUCCUGAUCUCUCAUAGUUACCAGACCUAGUCAGUUCUCAGUUCCAGAGCCCAUGGAUUGAAGGAGAGUCUGGGUCUCCUGAGGAGGAGCCCUGCAGCACUAUAGCAAUCUUAAAUAAUACACACUGUCUCAAAUCUUUCCCAAAGAGCCCCAUGGCCAUUUUUCAGAGUAACUGUAUGCUGAGAAAGCAGAAUAUACACAUCUUUCAAGAGCUACUCAACAUAGGGCCUGAGUGACAUACCCAGGGGAUCUAAAGCACCACCACAGCCCUCUUGUUAGAGUGGGACAUAUAAGAUAGGCAAUCUAUAAAGUUCUGACCCAAGGCUAUCUCAGGGCAGAUCCAGUAGGCCUGUGGGUCAAUCCCCUGAUCUCCCUUGUUUCUGAGAGGAUAAAUGGGAUGAGUGCACUUAACUGAGAGACCCCAAAAUUGGUUUCUUGACCUGAGGGAUAAGAGCCAUAAUGGUAGAAAAGGCUUAUUUAAUGCUCCAAAAUGCUCUCUCCAUCCCACCCCCUCCCCACUCCUGGUCAAAAUCAGGGGCAACAUCCCAGGAGUAUUGACAGUGAUCCCCACAAUAUCCCAUUGAAUGGUUCCUGCAAAGCAAAACAGAGCAAAAGUGGAAGAUGACAGUGGACUAACAUAAACCAAGAAGUAGCUCCAAUAGCAGCUGCUGUGCUGGAUGUAGCAUCCCUUCGAGUCAGCACUUGAUAUGAGGCUGGAGAUUUGGUUAAUGAAUUCUUUUAAAUCCCCUUCAGAAAAGAGAAUCAAGAACAGGUUGAAUUCACCUGGGUCAGAUAACACAGUGUACACUCAAAGUUUUGCUCCAGGAGCAUAUAAACCCUCCUGCUCUGUUACAAAACUGUCCAAAGAAGUCCUUGAUCAUCGUGACAUUCUGUAGAACAUCAUCCUGGUCCAAUACUUUGAUGACAAAAUGUUAACUGGACCUAGUGAACAGGAAUGAACUGGCAAAUAAUCUGAGUGUUCCUUAUGACACAUGCACCAGAGAGAAGGAGGUAAUUCCUACAAAGAUUCAGAGGUCAGAGGUCCAACAAUCUAGGGAAUACUGGGACAUCCUGCCAAGUCAAGAGCCAGUUAUUGCAUUUUGUACCUUCUACUACUAAGAGAGGUAAGCACUAGGUAGUAUUAUCUGGAUUCUGAAGUCAGCAUGUACAACACUUAGGAAUAUUGCUCUGACCAUUUCUUGGGUCACUCAGAAGGCUGCAAGUUUUGAGUACACAGUUAGGAGGGCUUUGUACCUCUCUAUGGUUCAGGCUGUAGUGUAGGGGUACCUCUUGGUGAUAUGUGGGGGUAACAAUAAAUGGGAAAUUUCACAAAUACAGCAGGACAGGGGCAAAAUGAUCAGGGGCUCAGACAUCUAAGAAAGGAAAGUCUAGGUCAUCUCAUGAGGCCAGCCAUGCUGACCAGCAAAAGUGCUGGUUGAGGGUGAGGGGAAUCUAGAAUAAGUAGAAGAGGGAGAUGAUAAAUGUUAAUUAUGGCUUCAGGACCAAUAUGCAACAGAGAGGACUACAGCCUGUCCCACUAAGCUUUUCGUUGAUGUUUUCCUUUUUGUAUUCAUUGUUUUAAAAAUAUUGUGACCAACCAUUAUCCUCGAGAGAAAGUGAACUUAACAUGGGACACCAGGUGGUACAGUAGAGCGGAGUGGAUGGCUGGAGAUGCUGGUGAUUACUUCAACAUAUCCCCUUCAUCUAUUCCCAGAGGUUUUCUUUUCUUUUAAUUGAGAUAUAACUUACGUAUAAAAUUUAUCAUUUUAAAGUAUACAAUUCAGUGAUUUUUAGUAUAGUCACAAAGUUGUACAACUAUUACAACUAUCUAAUUCCAGAACAUUUCAUACCCUCAAAAUGAAAUGCAGGACCCAUUAACAGUCACUCCCCAUCUACUCCUGAGUUUGCAAGCAGACAGUUCCCAUGCUUGGCUUCUGGAGGAGUCUCUUUGCCUGAGAGCAUUCUCUGGAAUUUGGUCUACAUCCAGGCAGGCUGGACAUGGCAAGGAAUUAAUACCUCAGAUUUCUAACCUCAACCAGUGAGGGAUGGAAAGUGGUGGAUAAUAUUCCCAGCUACCUUGUCCUUCAGUGUAAUAAUUCAGAGAUGUUUUCUGUACCAUGUCUCAGAGGGUCCCCAGCAGGAUUGGGUCCCAGUUGCCCAUAGUGGUGACUCUUUCGAUCUGUCUCAGUUCCUCAGUCUUCCGCGGGAUUUCCUGAAAUCACUUCCCAAAUAAACUACCUGCACCCAAAUCCUUAUCCUAUAGUCUACAUUUGGGAAAACCCACCUACGAUUCUUUUCAACAAGACUAUCAUGAGGUCUUUGUCAAGCACCUUGCUGAAAUUCUGACAUACUAUACCUCUCAUGCUUUUAAAAAGACAAAUGAGGCCGGGCGCAGUGGCUCACGCCUGUCAUCCCAGCACUUUGGG
ensembl:lncRNA novel transcript